rnacentral:rRNA from 1 species
AGUGAACGCUGGCGGUAGGCCUAACACAUGCAAGUCGAACGGCAGCACAGUAAGAGCUUGCUCUUACGGGUGGCGAGUGGCGGACGGGUGAGGAAUACAUCGGAAUCUACUUUUUCGUGGGGGAUAACGUAGGGAAACUUACGCUAAUACCGCAUACGACCUACGGGUGAAAGCAGGGGAUCUUCGGACCUUGCGCGAUUGAAUGAGCCGAUGUCGGAUUAGCUAGUUGGCGGGGUAAAGGCCCACCAAGGCGACGAUCCGUAGCUGGUCUGAGAGGAUGAUCAGCCACACUGGAACUGAGACACGGUCCAGACUCCUACGGGAGGCAGCAGUGGGGAAUAUUGGACAAUGGGCGCAAGCCUGAUCCAGCCAUACCGCGUGGGUGAAGAAGGCCUUCGGGUUGUAAAGCCCUUUUGUUGGGAAAGAAAAGCAGCAGGUUAAUACCCCGCUGUUCUGACGGUACCCAAAGAAUAAGCACCGGGUAACUUCGUG